rnacentral:RNase_P_RNA from 1 species
UAACGCCCAGGAGGGGUGACCCUACGGAAAGUGCCACAGAAACAUACCGCCCUUUGCAAGAGGGGUAAGGGUGAAAUGGUGAGGCAAGAGCUCACCAGCGGCUGGGUGACCAGUCGGCUAGGCAAACCCCAUCCGGAGCAAGACCAAAUAGAGGGAUAAAGGACGCCUGGUCCGUUCCCCGGGUUGGUCGCUUGACCCUGGCGGUAACGCCAGGGCUAGAUAGAUGGUCACCGUCCUUCUUCGGAAGGAUACAGAACUCGGCUUACAGGUUCACUUGACCC